ensembl:lncRNA
GGUAUGACCUAAAUCAAAUCUCAUGAUUAUACAGUGGGGGUGGCAAAUAGAUCCAAGGGAUUAGAUCUGGUAGACAAGAGUACCUAAAGAACUAUGGGCAGGGUACAUAACACUGUACAGGAAGUGGUGGUCAAAACCAUCCCCAAGAAAAAGAAAUGUUAGAAGGCAAAAUAGUUGUCUGAGGAGGCCUGACAAAUAGCUGAGAAAAGAAGGGAAGCUAAAGGCAAAGGAGAAAGGGAAAGAUAUACCUAACUGAAUGCAGAGUUCCAGAGAAUAGCAAGGAGAAAUGAGAAAGCCUUCUUAAGUGAACAAUGCAAAGAAACAGAGGAAAACAAUAGAAUGGGAAAGACUAGAGAUCUCUUCAAGAAAAUUAGAAAAAUAAAGAAAAUUAGAGAUACCAAGGGAACAUUUCAUGCAAAGAUGGGCACAAUAAAGGACAGAAAAGGCAAGGACCUAACAGAAGCAGAAGAGAUUAAGAAGAGGUGGCAAGAAUACACAAAAGAACUAUACAAGAAAGGUCUUAAUGACCUGGAUAAUCACAAUGGUGUGAUCACUCAUCUAAAGCCAGACAUUCUAGAGUGCGAAGUCAAGUGGGCCUUAGGAAGCAUUACUACGAACAAAGCUAGUGGAGGUGAUGAAAUUCCAGUUAAGCUACCUCAAAUCUUAAAAGAUGAUUCUGUCAAAGUGCUGCACUCAGUAUGCCAGCAAAUUUGGAAAACUCAGCAGUGGCCACUGGACUGGAAAAUUUCAGUUUUCAUAUCAAUCCUAAAGAAGGGCAAUGCCAAAAAAUGUUCAAACUAUGGCACAAUUGCACUCAUCUCACACUCUAGCAAAUGAAUGCUCAAAAUUCUCUAAGCUAGGCUUCAACAGUACAUGAAUUGAGAAAUUCCAGAUGUACAAGCUGGAUUUAGAAAAGGCAGAGGAACCAGAGAUCAAAUUACCAAUAUCCAUUGGAUCAUAGAAAAAACAAGGGAAUUCCAGAAAAACAUCUGCUUCAUUGACUACGCUAAAGUCUUUGUGUAGAUCACAACAAACUGUGGAAAAUUCUUAAAGAGAUGGGAAUACCAGACGACCUUACCUGCCUCCUGAGACACCUGUA